GAUGAACGCUGGCGGCGUGCCUAAUACAUGCAAGUCGAACGCAUUGAGAGAAGUGCUUGCACUUUUCAAUUUGAGUGGCGAACGGGUGAGUAACACGUGGGCAACCUACCUGAUAGCGGGGGAUAACGAGUGGAAACAUUCGCUAAUACCGCAUAACAAUAGAGAAGGCAUCUUCUUUAUUUAAAAGGCGCUUUCAAGCGUCACUAUCAGAUGGGCCCGCGGUGCAUUAGUUAGUUGGUGGGGUGAAGGCCUACCAAGACGAUGAUGCAUAGCCGGAUUGAGAGACUGAUCGGCCACAUUGGGACUGAGACACGGCCCAAACUCCGACGGGAGGCUGCAGUAGGGAAUCUUCCACAAUGGACGAAAGUCUGAUGGAGCAACGCCGCGUGUGUGAUGAAGGCUUUCGGGUCGUAAAGCACUGUUGUAUGGGAAGAAAUGCUAGGCUAGGAAAUGAGCUUUGUUUGACGGUACCAUACCAGAAAGGGACGGCUAAAUACGUGCCAGCCGCCGCGGUAA
rnacentral:rRNA from 1 species